UAGGGAAUCUUCGGCAAUGGGGGCAACCCUGACCGAGCAACGCCGCGUGAGUGAAGAAGGUUUUCGGAUCGUAAAGCUCUGUUGUAAGUCAAGAACGGGUGUGAGAGUGGAAAGUUCACACUGUGACGGUAGCUUACCAGAAAGGGACGGCUAACUACGUGCCAGCAGCCGCGGUAAUACGUAGGUCCCGAGCGUUGUCCGGAUUUAUUGGGCGUAAAGCGAGCGCAGGCGGUUUGAUAAGUCUGAAGUUAAAGGCUGUGGCUCAACCAUAGUUCGCUUUGGAAACUGUCAAACUUGAGUGCAGAAGGGGAGAGUGGAAUUCCAUGUGUAGCGGUGAAAUGCGUAGAUAUAUGGAGGAACACCGGUGGCGAAAGCGGCUCUCUGGUCUGUAACUGACGCUGAGGCUCGAAAGCGUGGGGAGCGAACAGGAUUAGAUACCCUGGUAGUCCACG
rnacentral:rRNA from 1 species